ensembl:lncRNA
GAACAUAAUGUAAUCCCAUGUUGACUGCAUCAUCCACAAACCGGUUUGCUCUAUAGGCAAACUGAAGAGGAUCCAGCAAGGGUCCAGUGAUGUCCUUCAGGAAUCUUGAAUUCUUACUUUCCUCUAGAUUGCUGCCAAACUGCCCCUACUUUUACUGCCAGUUAUUCUCCAGACCUUUAUGUCUCUGUUUCUACAACAACUCCAGACUCAAGUUCAUCUAUCUUCACCACAACAUCAGAAUCAAAUCCCCUCACAAACACAAGUACAACCGAGUCUUACUCCACCAUUCAAGCCACUACACAACUGAAGAACACUUCUCUCAGUGACACUUCUGACUCAACAUUAAACCAACAAAGCAUUGCCACUCAAACAACGGAGCCCUUAACUAGUGCCACUGCACAUGGGAUCAGUUCAACAGGAAGCACUAAAACAACUAGCUCGGACACAUCAACAACAUCUGAGACACCUACACUGACUCCAAAUCAUGCAAACAAUGAUUCCAUUACCACCACUGAUUCCAAAACACAAUAUAAAGUAGAGCAAACCUCAGACAGCAAUACAUCCAUUUUUUGGUCUACUGGAACAUUAACUGGUACCCAAAGACCUGAGCCAACAAAUGGAACUUCAACCAAGAGUAGUGUCACAAAGACAUCAUAUUCUGAAUUGACAACAACAAUAAUUGUGCCUACAACAACUCCAGACUCUUCAUUAGCGUCCCCUGAUGUGUCUUCUAAAACAUCAUACUCCACUUUGACAACAACACAACAGCUUGAGUCAUCAGACCAUGCUCAAGUCUCCAUCACAUCAAAUGAAUCGACAACUACAAUGAUUUCCUCUACAACAACUCCAGACUCAAGUUCAUCUAUCUUCACCAAAACAUCAGAACCAAAUACCAUCACAAACACAAGUACAACUGAGUCUUACUCAACCAUUCAACCAACUACACAACUGAAGAACACUUCUCUCAGUGACACUUCUGACUCAAUAUCAGAACAACAAAGCACUGCCACUCAAACAACGGAGCCCUUAACCAAUGCCACUGCACAUGGGAUCAGUUCAACAGGAAGCACUAAAACAACUAGCUCGGACACAUCAACAACAUCUGAGAUACCUACACUGACUCCAAUUCAUGCAAACAAUGAUUCCAUUACCACCACUGAUUCCAAAAUACAAUAUAAUUUAGAGAAAACCUCAGUCAGCAAUACAUCCAUUUCUUGGUCUACUGGAACAUUAACUGAUACCCAAAGGCCUGAGCCAACAAACGAAACUUCAACCAACAGUAGUGUCAAAAAGACAGCAUUUUCUGAAUCGACAACAACAAUGCUUGUGUCUAAAACAACUGCAGGCUCUUCAUUUCCGUCUUCUCUAACAUCAUACUCCACUGUUACAACAACACAACAGCUUGAGUCCUCAGACAAUACUCAAGUCUCCAUCACAUCAAAUGAAUCGAAAACUACAAUGAUUUCCUCUACAACAACUCCAGACUCAAGUUCAUCUCUCUUCACCAAAACAUCAGAACCAAAUACCCUCACAAACACAAGUAAAACCGAGUCUUACUCAACCAUAAAAACAACUACACAACUGAAGAACACUUCUCUCAGUGACACUUCUGACUCAAGAUUAAACCAACAAAGCAUUGCCACUCAAACAACGGAGCCCUUAACCAAUGCUACUGCACAUGGGAUCAGUUCAACAGGAAGCACUAAAACAACUAGCUCGGAUACAUCAACAACAUCUGAGACACCUAAACUGACUCCAAUUCAUGUAAACAAUGAUUCCAUUACCACCACUGAUUCCAAAACAAAGUAUAAAGUAGAGCAAACCUCAGAUAGCAAUACAUCUAUUUCUUGGUCUACUGGAACAUUAACUGGCACCCAAAGGCCUGAGCCAAUAACCGACACUUUAACCAACAGUAGUGUCACAAAGACAUCAUAUACUGAAUCGACAACAACAAUAACUGUGCCUACAACAACUCCAAACUCUUCAUUAGCAUCCCCUGAUGUGUCUUCUCAAACAUCAUACUCCACUGUGACAACAACACAACAGCUUGAUUCAUCAGACCAUACACAAUUCUCCAUCACAUCAAAUGAAUCGACAACUACAAUGAUUUCCUCUACAACAACUCCAGACAUAAGUUCAUCUAUCUUCACCAAAACAUCAGAACCAAAUACCCUCACAAACACAAGUAAAACUGAGUCUUACUCAACCAUAAAAACAACUACACAACUGAAGAACACUUCUCUUAGUGACACUUCUGACUCAACCUUAAACCAACAAAGCAUUGCCACUCAAACAACGGAGCCCUUAACCAAUGCUACUGCACAUGGGAUCAGUUCAACAGGAAGCACUAAAACAACUAGCUCGGACACAUCAACAACAUCUGAGACACCUAAACUGACUCCAAAUCAUGCAAACAAUGAUUACAUUACCACCACUGAUUCCAAAACACAAUAUAAAGUAGAGCAAACCUCAAACAGCAAUACAUCCAUUUAUUGGUCUACUGGAACCCAAAGGCCUGAGCCAACAACCGAAACUUUAACCAACAGUAGUGUAACAAAGACAUCAUAUACUGAAUUGACAACAACAAUAAUUGUGCCUAAAACAACUCCAAACUCUUCAUUAGCAUCCCCUGAUGUGUCUUCUCAAACAUCAUACUCCACUGUGACAACAACACAACAGCUUGAUUCAUCAGACCAUACUCAAGUCUCCAUCACAUCAAAUGAAUCGACAGCUAAAAUGUUUUCCUCUACAACAACUCCAGACUCAAGUUCAUCUAUCUUCACCAAAACAUCAGAACCAAAUACCCUCACAAACACAAGUACAACCGAGUCUCACUCAACCAUUCAACCAACUACACAACUGAAGAACACUUCUCUCAGUGACACUUCUGACUCAACAUCAAAACAACAAAGCAUUGCCACUCAAACCAUGGAGCCCUUAACCAAUGCCAAUGCACAUGGGAUCAGUUCAACAGGAAGCACUAAAACAACUAGCUCGGACACAUCAACAACAUCUGAGACACAUAAACUGACUCCAAUUCAUUCAAACAAUAAUUCCAUUACCACCACUGAUUCCAAAACACAAUAUAAUGUAGAGCAAACCUCAGACAGCAAUACAUCCAUUUCUUGGAUUACUGGAACAUUAACUGGUACCCAAAGGCCUGAGCCAACAAUCAAAACUUCAACCAACAGUAAUUUCACUAAGACAGCAUUUUCUGAAUUGACAGCAACAAUGCUUGCACCUACAACAACUACAGGCUCUUUAUUUCCGUCUUCUAUAACAUCAUACUCCACUAUGA